rnacentral:rRNA from 1 species
AACGAACGCUGGCGGCAGGCCUAACACAUGCAAGUCGAACGCCCCGCAAGGGGAGUGGCAGACGGGUGAGUAACACGUGGGAACCUACCUUGAGGUACGGAACAACCAAGGGAAACUUUGGCUAAUACCGUAUGAGCCCGAGAGGGGAAAGAUUUAUCGCCUUGGGAUGGGCCCGCGUCGGAUUAGCUAGUUGGUGUGGUAAUGGCGCACCAAGGCGACGAUCCGUAGCUGGUCUGAGAGGAUGACCAGCCACACUGGGACUGAGACACGGCCCAGACUCCUACGGGAGGCAGCAGUGGGGAAUAUUGGACAAUGGGCGCAAGCCUGAUCCAGCCAUGCCGCGUGUGUGAUGAAGGCCUUAGGGUUGUAAGCUCUUUCGGUGGGGAAGAAAUUGCAUGGGCUAAUACCCUGUGUAGAUGACGGUACCUGGAGAAGAAGCACCGGCUAACUACGUG